CAAUAGCGUAUAUUAACGUUGUUGCAGUUAAAAAGCUCGUAGUUGGAUUUCUGGAGGGAGCGUCGGCCCGUAUUUACGAGUGCGUGACGUCUCUGUCCAUCCUUGCGGGAAGGCACGGCAUUGAUUUGUUGUGUCGGAUCGCAUCAUUUACUGUGAAAAAAUUAGAGUGUUCAAAGCAGGCUUUCGCUUGAAUACAUUAGCAUGGAAUAAUAAGAUAGGACUUUGGUGCUAUUUUGUUGGUUGAGCCUAAAGUAAUGAUUACUAGGGAUAGUUGGGGGCACCUGUAUUGCGUUGUCAGAGGUGAAAUUCUUGGAUUUACGCAAGACAAACAGCUGCGAANGNGUCUGCNAAGGAUGUUUNCAUUA
rnacentral:rRNA from 1 species